rnacentral:rRNA from 1 species
UACGAAGGGGACUAGCGUUGUUCGGAAUUACUGGGCGUAAAGCGCACGUAGGCGGCUUUGCAAGUCGGAUGUGAAAUCCCUCGGCUUAACCAAGGAAGUGCAUCCGAAACUGCAGAGCUUGAGUACUUAAGAGGAUCGCGGAAUUCCCGGUGUAGAGGUGAAAUUCGUAGAUAUCGGGAGGAACACCAGUGGCGAAGGCGGCGAUCUGGGAAGAUACUGACGCUGAGGUGCGAAAGCGUGGGGAGCAAACAGG